GACGAACGCUGGCGGCGUGCCUAAUACAUGCAAGUAGAACGCUGAAGGAGGAGCUUGCUCUUCUGGAUGAGUUGCGAACGGGUGAGUAACGCGUAGGUAACCUGCCUGGUAGCGGGGGAUAACUAUUGGAAACGAUAGCUAAUACCGCAUAACAGUAGAUGUUGCAUGACAUUUACUUAAAAGGUGCAAUUGCAUCACUACCAGAUGGACCUGCGUUGUAUUAGCUAGUUGGUGGGGUAACGGCUCACCAAGGCGACGAUACAUAGCCGACCUGAGAGGGUGAUCGGCCACACUGGGACUGAGACACGGCCCAGACUCCUACGGGAGGCAGCAGUAGGGAAUCUUCGGCAAUGGACGGAAGUCUGACCGAGCAACGCCGCGCGAGUGAAGAAGGUUUUCGGAUCGUAAAGCUCUGUUGUAAGAGAAGAACGAGUGUGAGAGUGGAAAGUUCACACUGUGACGGUAUCUUACCAGAAAGGGACGGCUAACUACGUG
rnacentral:rRNA from 1 species